UACGGGAGGCAGCAGUGGGGAAUUUUGGACAAUGGGGGACCCUGAUCCAGCAAUGCCGCGUGUGAAGAAGACCUUCGGGUUGUAAAGCACUUUUGUCCGGAAAGAAAUCCCUUGCUCUAAUACGGCGGGGGGAUGACGGUACCGGAAGAAUAAGCACCGGCUAACUACGUGCCAGCAGCCGCGGUAA
rnacentral:rRNA from 1 species